CCUACGGGGUGCAGCAGUGGGGGAUAUUGCACAAUGGGGGGAACCCUGAUGCAGCGACGCCGCGUGAGCGAUGGAGUACUUCGGUAUGUAAAGCUCUGUCAGCAGGGAAGAAAAUGACGGUACCUGACCAAGAAGCCCCGGCUAACUACGGGCCAGCAGCCGCGGUAAUACGUAGGGAGCAAGCGUUGUUCGGAAUGACUGGGCGUAAAGGGUGCGUAGGCAGUUGUACAAGUUAGAAGUGAAAUACCCAGGGCUUAACUCGGGUGCUGCUUCUAAAACUGUAUGACUUGAGUGCAGUAGAGGUUAGUGGAAUUCCUAGUGUAGCGGUGGAAUGCGUAGAUAUUAGGAGGAACACCAGAGGCGAAGGCGGCUAACUGGACUGCAACUGACGCUGAGGCACGAAAGUGUGGGGAGCAAACAGGAUUAGAUACCCUUGUAGUC
rnacentral:rRNA from 1 species